AAGUCGUAACAAGGUUUCCGUAGGUGAACCUGCGGAAGGAUCAUUAACGAAUAAACCUGAUGGGCUGCAGCUGUCCCCCCAGGGGGCACGUGCUCGCCCGUCAUCUUUAUAUUUCCACCUGUGCACACACUGUAGAUCCGUGGGCGAACCCGCCUCUCUCCCGAGAAGCGUGGCGACCCCCGGGUUUACGACUCAUCUCACACACCCCAACGAAACCGUAGUAGAAUGUGACUUGCAGGGUCUCUGAACCCAUAAUAAAGUUUUAUACAACUUUCAGCAACGGAUCUCUUGGCUCUC
rnacentral:misc_RNA from 1 species